rnacentral:misc_RNA from 1 species
AAGUCGUAACAAGGUUUCCGUAGGUGAACCUGCGGAAGGAUCAUUACCGAAUGGCCAAACGUGGGUUGUUGCUGGCCCCCCAAAGGGGCAUGUGCACGCUCUGUUUACACAUCCACUCACACCUGUGCACCCUCUGUAGUUUUAUGGUUCGGGAGACCCUGUCUUCCUGCCGUAGCUCUACGUCUUUACACACACGCUGUAGUGAUGUCUUGUGGAAUGUCUUUUUUGCGUUUAACGCGAUACAAUACAACUUUCAGCAACGGAUCUCUUGGCUCUC